UGGGGAAUAUUGGACAAUGGGCGCAAGCCUGAUCCAGCCAUGCCGCGUGUGUGAAGAAGGCCUUUUGGUUUUAAAGCACUUUAAGCGAGGAGGAGGCUACUUGGAUUAAUACUCUAGGAUAGUGGACGUUACUCGCAGAAUAAGCACCGGCUAACUCUGUGCCAGCAGCCGCGGUAAUACAGAGGGUGCGAGCGUUAAUCGGAUUUACUGGGCGUAAAGCGUGCGUAGGCGGCUUUUUAAGUCGGAUGUGAAAUCCCUGAGCUUAACUUAGGAAUUGCAUUCGAUACUGGGAAGCUAGAGUAUGGGAGAGGAUGGUAGAAUUCCAGGUGUAGCGGUGAAAUGCGUAGAGAUCUGGAGGAAUACCGAUGGCGAAGGCAGCCAUCUGGCCUAAUACUGACGCUGAGGUACGAAAGCAUGGGGAGCAAACAGG
rnacentral:rRNA from 1 species